rnacentral:rRNA from 1 species
CCUACGGGUGGCAGCAGUGGGGAAUAUUGCUCAAUGGGCGCAAACCUGAACCAGCAACGCCGCGUGGGGGAUGAAGGUUUUCGGGUUGUAAACUUCUUUUGUUGGGGACGAUAAGGACGGUAUCUAACAAAUAAUCAGCGGCUAACACCGUGCCAGCAGCCGCCGUAAUACUAAGGGUGAAAGCGUCAUUCGGAUUCACUGGGCGUAAAGAGGGCGUAGGCGGGAUGGCAAGUCAGAUGUGAAAGCCUAGGGCUUAACCAUAGAACUGCAUUUGGAACUGUUAUUCUAGAGUAUGGGAGAGGUAGGUGGAAUUCUUGGUGUAGGGGUAAAAUGCGUAGAGAUGAAGAGGAAUACUCAUUGCGAAGGCGACCUGCUAGAACAUAACUGACGCUGAUGCGCGAAAGCGUGGGGAGCAAACAGGAUUAGAUACCCCAGUAGUC